CCCUUAGAUGUUCUGGGCCGCACACGCGCUACACUGAAGGAGGCAGCGUGUACUCCUGGAUCGAAAGAUUUGGGUAACCCGCGAAUCUCCUUCGUGCUAGGGAUUGAGGUUUGCAAUUAUCCUUCAUGAACGAGGAAUUCCCAGUAAGUGCAAGUCAUAAGCUUGCGCUGACUACGUCCCUGCCCUUUGUACACACCGCCCGUCGCUACUACCGAUUGAAUGAUUUAGUGAAGACUUCGGACUGGGACCGAUGCGGCUUUCGGGCUGCGUCGGUAUUCUGGAAAGAUGUCCAAACUGUAUCAUUUAGAGGAAGUAAAANUCGUAACA
rnacentral:rRNA from 1 species